GACGAACGCUGGCGGCGUGCCUAAUACAUGCAAGUCGAACGCACAGUUUAUACCGUAGCUUGCUACACCAUAGACUGUGAGUUGCGAACGGGUGAGUAACGCGUAGGUAACCUGCCUGGUAGCGGGGGAUAACUAUUGGAAACGAUAGCUAAUACCGCAUAAUAUUAAUUAUUGCAUGAUAAUUAAUUGAAAGGUGCAAUUGCACCACUACCAGAUGGACCUGCGUUGUAUUAGCUAGUAGGUGAGGUAACGGCUCACCUAGGCGACGAUACAUAGCCGACCUGAGAGGGUGAUCGGCCACACUGGGACUGAGACACGGCCCAGACUCCUACGGGAGGCAGCAGCAGGGAAUCUUCGGCAAUGGACGAAAGUCUGACCGAGCAACGCCGCGUGAGUGAAGAAGGUUUUCGGAUCGUAAAGCUCUGUUGUAAGAGAAGAACGGGUGUGAGAGUGGAAAGUUCACACUGCGACGGUAUCUUACCAGAAAGGGACGGCUAACUACGUG
rnacentral:rRNA from 1 species